CCUACGGGAGGCAGCAGUGAGGAAUAUUGGUCAAUGGGCGGGAGCCUGAACCAGCCAAGUCGCGUGAGGGAAGACGGUCCUAUGGAUUGUAAACCUCUUUAGGCGGGGAGCAAUGCCGGGCACGCGUGCCCGGAGGGAGAGUACCCGCAGAAUAAGCAUCGGCUAACUCCGUGCCAGCAGCCGCGGUAAUACGGGGGAUGCGAGCGUUAUCCGGAUUGAUUGGGUUUAAAGGGUGCGUGGGCGGACUGUUAAGUCCGCGGUAAAAGCCCGGGGGUCAACCCCGGCGAGCCGUUGAAACUGGCUGUCUUGAGUGGUCGAGAGGUAUGCGGAAUGCGCAGUGUAGCGGUGAAAUGCUGAGAUAUUGCGAAGAACUCCGAUUGCGAAGGCAGCAUACUGGCGGCGAUCUGACGCUGAGGCACGAAAGCGUGGGUAUCGAACAGGAUUAGAUACCCCUGUAGUC
rnacentral:rRNA from 1 species